GGGGCACCACCAGGAGUGGACCCUGCGGCUUAUUUUGACUCCACACGGGAAAACUCCCCCGGCCCGGACACUGGAGAGAUUGACAUAUUGAGAUCUCUUUCUUGAUUCUGGGGGUGGUGGUGCGGGGCCGUUCUUAUUUGGUGGAGUGAUUUGUCUGGUUUAUUCCUAUCACAAAAGACACUCUAGCCUACUAAAUAGAUAGGAUGCUUACUGUCUUGGAUAAUUCUUCUAGGGACAAGUGGUUUUGAUUCACCCGCAAUAAACAGAUAAAUAGUCUGUCUGUGAUGCCCUUAUAUGGGGCUGCCCGCACGCGCGCUACACUGAAGUGAUCAGCGUGCUUUUGUCAACCUACUCUGUCAAGAGUGCCGAACCCAUCCUACCUUCUUCGUGAUUGAAUAGGGGAUUGUAACUUGAACCUUGAUUACGAAUUCUGUGAGUCAUAAGUCAUAGUCUAUUACUGACUACGCUUGUACACUGUACACAUCGCUGGUCGCUACUAGGAUUUCUAUAUAGUGGACU
rnacentral:rRNA from 1 species